rnacentral:rRNA from 1 species
GGUUGAUCCUGCCAGUAGUCAUAUGCUUGUCCCAAAGAUUAAGCCAUGCAUGUCUAAGUAUAAACCUUUAUACGGUGAAACUGCGAAUGGCUCAUUAUAUCAGUUAUAAUUUAUUUGAUGGUCUCUUUACUACUUGGAUAACCGUGGUAAUUCUAGAGCUAAUACAUGCAAAAAGCCCGACUUCUGGAAGGGUUGUAUUUAUUAGGUAAAAACCAACGCCUCACGGCUCUUUGGUGAUUCAUAAUAACUUUGCGGAUCGUAUG